AACGAACGCUGGCGGCAUGCCUAACACAUGCAAGUCGAACGAGACCUUCGGGUCUAGUGGCGCAUGGGUGCGCAACGCGUGGGAACCUGCCCUUAGGUUCGGAAUAACUCCCCGAAAGGGGUGCUAAUACCGGAUAAUGUCUUCGGACCAAAGAUUUAUCGCCUUUGGAUGGGCCCGCGUUGGAUUAGCUAGUUGGUAGGGUAAAAGCCUACCAAGGCGACGAUCCAUAGCUGGUCUGAGAGGAUGAUCAGCCACACUGGGACUGAGACACGGCCCAGACUCCUACGGGAGGCAGCAGUGGGGAAUAUUGGACAAUGGGCGAAAGCCUGAUCCAGCAAUGCCGCGUGAGUGAUGAAGGCCUUAGGGUUGUAAAGCUCUUUUACCCGGGAUGAUAAUGACAGUACCGGGAGAAUAAGCUCCGGCUAACUCCGUG
rnacentral:rRNA from 1 species